rnacentral:rRNA from 2 species
GAGUUUGAUCGUGGCUCAGAUUGAACGCUGGCGGCAUGCCUUACACAUGCAAGUCGAACGGCAGCACGGGAGCUUGCUCCUGGUGGCGAGUGGCGAACGGGUGAGUAAUGCAUCGGAACGUAUCCUGGAGUGGGGGAUAACGUAGCGAAAGUUACGCUAAUACCGCAUAUUCUGUGAGCAGGAAAGCGGGGGACCUUCGGGCCUCGCGCUCUUGGAGCGGCCGAUGUCGGAUUAGCUAGUUGGUGAGGUAAAGGCUCACCAAGGCGACGAUCCGUAGCAGGUCUGAGAGGAUGAUCUGCCACACUGGAACUGAGACACGGUCCAGACUCCUACGGGAGGCAGCAGUGGGAAUUUUGGACAAUGGGGGCAACCCUGAUCCAGCCAUGCCGCGUGAGUGAAGAAGG